UGUGAAAAUGUAGCGCAAUCAAUUGUCAAUUAAUUGUUGACCGGUAUGAAUGGUGUCACGAAAGUUCUUCUGUUUUAAAAAAACACUCAAGAAUUGUAGUGAAGAUGCUACAUUAAAAUUGUUAGACGAGAAGUCCCCAUGGAGCUUUACUGAAAGCCUAAAAAAAAUUUUUUAUUUAUUUAUAGGUUAGACAGUUUUGUUGGGGUGAUAGUUUUUUAAAAAGUAACGAAAACGAACUAUGACGCAUGUUUCACUCUGAAAACUUGAAGAGACAUUUGGGGUGUGUUUUAUGAUCUAUUGUUUUGAAUGAAAAAGAUAAUGAAAGCAGAUAAAAGUUACCCGUGGGG
rnacentral:rRNA from 1 species